CGUUGCCGCAGGCGCUGCGCCACGUAGAAGGCAAUCUCCAGCGACUGCUCGGCGUUCAGGCGGGGGUCGCAGUGGGUGUGGUAGCGGCUGUUCAGGUCGUCCUCGCUGAUGGAGGCGCCGCCGCCAAUGCACUCCGUCACGUUGUCGCCCGUCAUCUCCAGGUGCACGCCGCCGGGCACGGUGCCCAUCUUCUCGUGCACGUCGAAGAAGGCCUCAAUCUCGCUGCGGAUGUUCUCGUAGCGGCGGGUCUUGAAGCCCGACACGGUCUCGGUGUUGCCGUGCAUGGGGUCGCACACCCAGGUCACCACCUGGCCGGAGCGCUGCACCGCCUCGAUCAGCGCGGGCAGCUUGGCACGCAGGGCCUUGGCGCCCAUGCGCACGAUGAUGCUCAGGCGGCCGGGCGUGUUGGAGGGGUUCACCGAGGCGAUGAGCGACACAAUGUCGUUGGGGUCCAUCUUGUCCGACACCUUGACGCCGAUGGGGUUGUUCACGCCGCGGAGGAACUCCACGUGCGCGUGGUCGAGCUGGCGCGUGCGCUCGCCGCACCACAGGAAGUGCGCGGAGCAGCCGUACCACUUGUCGGUGGUGGAGUCCAGGCGGGUCAGCGCCUCCUCGUAGUCCAGCAGCAGGCACUCGUGGCAGGUGUAGAACUCAGUCUCGCGCAUGAAGGGCAUGUUGGUGUCCAUGCCGCAAGCAAUCAUGAACUGGAUCGCCUCGUCCACGCGCUUGGCGAUGUCCAUGUAGGCGUGGCCCUCGGGCGUGUUCUUCAUGAACUCAAGCUCCCACUGAGACACGCGCGACAGGCCGGCGUAGCCGCCGUAGCUGAAGCCGCGCAGCAGGUUCAGCGUCGCCGCGGACUGGUUGUAGGCGCGCACCAGGCGCCAGGGGUCACAGCGGCGGGCCUCCUCCGUGAACUCGGGGCCGUUGAUGAUGUCGCCGCGGUAGGCGGGCAGCGUGACGCCGCCGAUCGUCUCCGUGGAAGCGG
rnacentral:lncRNA from 1 species